UAAACGGCUCUUUUAAGAGCCAUUCACCACCAGAAAAAGAGCUGG
rfam:Ophiophagus hannah scaffold12595.1, whole genome shotgun sequence.